rnacentral:hammerhead_ribozyme from 1 species
GCACUGCUGAAGAGUCCCACACUAGGACGAAACGGCUGUCCAGUGC